rnacentral:rRNA from 1 species
AGGACGAACGCUGGCGGCGUGCCUAACACAUGCAAGUCGAACGGAGCCCGCAAGGGUUCAGUGGCGAACGGGUGCGUAACACGUGAGGAACUUGUCCAUCGGCGGGGGAUAGCCGGCCCAACGGCUGGGUAAUACCGCGUACGCCGUCCGGAGCGCAUGCUCUGGCCGGGAAAGCAGCAAUGCACCGAUGGAGAGCCUCGCGGCCUAUCAGCUAGUUGGUGGGGUAAUGGCCUACCAAGGCGACGACGGGUAGCUGGUCUGAGAGGAUGACCAGCCACAUUGGGACUGAGACACGGCCCAGACUCCUACGGGAGGCAGCAGUGGGGAAUAUUGCGCAAUGGGCGAAAGCCUGACGCAGCGACGCCGCGUGUGGGAUGACGGCCUUCGGUUGUAACCACUGUCGCGAGGGACGAAGAUCUGACGGUACCUCGAAAGGAAGCACCGGCUAACUCUGCGCCAGCAGCCGCGGU